rnacentral:rRNA from 1 species
UGAUUUCCCUAGUAACGGCGAGUGAAGAGGAAAGAGCUCAAAGUUGGAACCUGUUUGGCUUAGCUAAACCGGAUUGUAAACUGUAGAAACAUUUUCCAGGUACACCAGAUUAAAAAGUCCUUUGGAACAGGGCAUCAUAGAGGGUGAGAAUCCCGUCUUUGGUCUGAGUAGUUGUCUAUUGUGAUAUGUUUUCAAAGAGUCAGGUUGUUUGGGAAUGCAGCCUAAAUUGGGUGGUAAAUCUCACCUAAAGCUAAAUAUUUGCGAGAGACCGAUAGCGAACAAGUACCGUGAGGGAAAGAUGAAAAGAACUUUGAAAAGAGAGUUAAACAGUAUGUGAAAUUGUUAAAAGGGAACCGUUUGGAGCCAGACUGGCUUGACUGUAAUCAACCUAGAAUUCGUUUUGGGUGCACUUGCAGUCUAUGCCUGCCAACGACAGUUUGAUUUGGAGGAAAAAAUUAAUAGGAAUGUGGCCUUUCGAGGUGUUAUAGCCUAUUAUCAUACUCUGGAUUGGACUGAGGAACGCAGUGAAUGCCUUUAGGCAAGAUUGCUGGGCGCUUUCGCUAAUAAAUGUUAGAAUUUCUGCUUCGGGUGGUGCUAAUGUUUAAAGGAGGAACACGUUUAGUAUAUUUUUUAUUCGCUUAGGUUGUUGGCUUAAUGACUCUAAAUGAC